UAGAAUAAUUUAGACAAAGUGAGUCGGCAAAAUAGAUUUGUGACGUUUGUCGAUCCAGAAGAUGAGGCUAAAUAAGAAGGGGGAAGAAUUCGUUCAGAGAUAGCUUACUUGGGAAAGGCCCAUCUCUAGUCUGUUUCUACCUCUGCUCACCCCCAUUACCCACCCUCACUAACAAUAAUCUUGAGACUGGUACGUACAAGAGGAAUCAAUUAAAAAAUAGCAUUGCAAUGGUCAGUAAAUGAUGUUGACUCAAUAUUAUUUCUGCCGAGUGCUCUGAAUGUCAAAGUGAAAAAGCUUAACCAAGCGCAGGUAAUCGGCGGGAGUAACUGUGACUUUCUUAGGGUAGCCAAAUGUCUCGUCAUCCAAUUAGUGACGCGCAUGAAUGGAUUGACGAGAUUCUCACUGUCCCUAUCUACUAUCUAGCGAAACCACAGCCAAGGGAACGGGCUUGG
rnacentral:ncRNA from 1 species